rnacentral:rRNA from 1 species
GAACGCUGGCGGCGUGCCUAACACAUGCAAGUCGAACGCGAACGGAAUCUUCGGAUUCCAAGUAGAGUGGCGCACGGGUGAGUAACACGUGGAUAACCUGCCCUAUGAUCUGGGAUAACAUUUCGAAAGAAGUGCUAAUACCGGAUAAGCCCCCGGAAUCUUCGGAUUCAGAGGGAAAAGAUUUAUCGUCAUAGGAUGGGUCCGCGGUCCAUUAGCUAGUUGGUGGGGUAAUGGCCUACCAAGGCCGCGAUGGAUAGCUGGUCUGAGAGGAUGAUCAGCCACACUGGAACUGAGACACGGUCCAGACUCCUACGGGAGGCAGCAGUGGGGAAUUUUGCGCAAUGGGGGAAACCCUGACGCAGCAACGCCGCGUGAAGGAUGAAGGCCUUUGGGUCGUAAACUUCUGUCAGAGGGGAAGAAAUGCCCGCAAGGGAGCUGACGGUACCCUCAAAGGAAGCACCGGCUAACUCCGUGCCAGCAGCCGCGGUAAUAC